GCUAUGUAUCAGUUGAUGAAAAUGUUCACAGGUAUCUAACCCUGUUAUUUCUCUUAGGAGCAGUGAUUCAGUAUUAACUAGUUUCAGCGUUAGCAAGAUUUCACAAAACAAUCCACAAUUAAUGAGGACUAGUGUCUGAUAAAUGUAUGGCUCAUCAUUGACAGUAGUUACUUUAAACCACCCAACUUCAUGCAGGAUUUGAGGUGAAGCAGGAAGCAGCUGACACUACUACUGUACCAUACAAAAGGCAUAUGUACAGCUGCUUCUAUUGGAAGGUUCCCUUGGAAUUGUAAAUGGACUUAACCAAAACCUUUUAAUUAUCCUGAGUUUAUAAAACCUGUGGAAUAAACUUCUGACCCUGUAUUGUACUUCUGUGCCAAUUAGGAAGAUGUCAACCUUUUCUCAACAGUUAUUAGCAAAUAGAUAAAAUGCUGGCUGCUGCUAAAGAAGAAAUUUCCAACAAAUUAGACCUCCAUAACAGAAGUGCCUCUGCACAUUAUACCAAGGGACACACCAGCCCACCUGUGCAAAAAUAACAGGUCCGUAGUAAGGGCUGUGGAUCCAUGGAGUUUGGUGAACCUGCCCUACCCACCACCACUUGCCAUGAUGGGGGGGAAAAAAAGCCUGAAGAGUGCAAAACUGGGCAGAUAUUCACAGGUGAGAGAGAAUUGGUGAAAAGUCCAGCCUGCCUCAAGAGAUUCCAGCACGCCAUCAGAACAGCAUAGACACAGAUGAAUUUGGAUGCAGAGAA